rnacentral:rRNA from 1 species
GAUGAACGCUGGCGGCGUGCCUAAUACAUGCAAGUCGAGCGAACAGACGAGGACCUUGCUCCUCUGACGUUAGCGGCGGACGGGUGAGUAACACGUGGAUAACCUACCUAUAAGACUGGGAUAACUUCGGGAAACCGGAGCUACUACCGGCUAAUAUAUUGAACCGCAUGGUUCAAUAGUGAACGACGGUUUUGCUGUCACUUAUAGAUGGAUCCGCGCCGCAUUAGCUAGUUGGUAAGGUAACGGCUUACCAAGGCAACGAUGCGUAGCCGACCUGAGAGGGUGAUCGGCCACACUGGAACUGAGACACGGUCCAGACUCCUACGGGAGGCAGCAGUAGGGAAUCUUCCGCAAUGGGCGAAAGCCUGACGGAGCAACGCCGCGUGAGUGAUGAAGGUCUUCGGAUCGUAAAACUCUGUUAUUAGGGAAGAACAAAUGUGUAAUUAACUAGGCACGGCAUGACGGUACCUAAUCAGAAAGCCACGGCUAACUACGUG